CCAAUAGCGUAUAUUAAAGUUGUUGCAGUUAAAAAGCUCGUAGUUGAACUUCGGGGUUCACCCAUUGGUCAGGCUUAAUUGUCUGCACUGGUGAGAUGAGUCUCUACCUUCUGAGGAACUUUCAUGUCAUUAAUUUGGUGUGAUGGGAAAUCAGGACUGUUACUUUGAAAAAAUUAGAGUGUUUAAAGCAGGCUAACGUC
rnacentral:rRNA from 1 species